GCCCCGGUAGCUCAGCCUGGUGGAGCGCCUCACUGGUAAUGAGGAGGUCCCGGGUUCAGGCAUUGCCGCCUAAGAAUCCCGGCCGGGGCUCCA
rnacentral:tRNA from 1 species